rnacentral:rRNA from 1 species
UUAAACCUCUAUGUCAUUCUUAAUGUACCUUAUCUAGUCUGAUCUUGGAUGAUAAAGAGGGUCAAGCCUGGUUAGUAACUUGGUUGGGAGAGAAUACUGGGUGAUUUAUAGA